rnacentral:lncRNA from 1 species
AGGUCGCGGCGCCGACAGUGCCGAACGGACAGGGUUUCCCCUAUACUAUGGACAGAGUCUCCCCUGUAUGUUCAUGGCAACGCAAUCAAUACAAUACGAGGGUUCCAACCAGGAACUGAUAUCAAUCAAGAUUGCAUAAUGGAAGGUAUCAAACAACAUAAACACAUCCUAAGUUAUUACAUUCAUUCACAUUCACGCAUUUUACAUCUCAAUUCUCAAUUGCUUUAACUUCCAAAUACAAUCUAAGUAGUACAUCGUUUACUUAUUACAAUUUGAUACAUUCGCUUUCUUUUCAUUUUCUUUACCCCUAAGCUUUGUAGACGGGUACUGCUAGCUCUGGUCUCUGGGGUAGGGCGCUAUCUACGGAGCUACGCCCUUUCCUCGCGCCGCCGCGCCGCUCACGUACGAACCUGUAAAACCCGAAAACAACGUGGGGUGAGAACCAACUCCAUGGUUCCCAGUGAGUACGGCCACCCAAGGUAAAAGCUCGACCGACAGGUUCAAAGGAGGCAACUGUAGGUUAGUUUAAUAAACAGAUAGAUAGAUAUUUUGACUAUGCAAUUAAUAGAACCAUACCUUGCCUCGCAAUUGUAACAAUGCUAUGCAAUAUGCAAUACCUGUAAAUCAUGCAAGUAGAUUACUUGAUCUACUUUAUAUCAUUAACCAUACUUUACUUGUAGCCGUUCUUUUCUUUAUUAGCUAUUCACGUUCGUUAGUUAUUCUUUAUUCUUUACUCUUUGUCUUAUUGUGCUCACUGGCGAUUCUUUCCUAAGGUUAUUUUACCUUAGCCAUCUAUGCCACUCGACUCGGUCUCGAGUCAAUCAACUGCGGAUAGUCCGCACUCUGUCCGGCUCAAGGUGAAGGACCUCUCACUUACACCUCAGCCUUCAGUCUACAAACAUCUCGCCAACGGGUCGCCCAGAGCUGCGUACACCCGUGGUCAGGGAUCUUUCCGGUGGGAAGGGGAUUAUACCACAAACUCAACCCGCGGCCCAAGACCCCCGAUAGGGAAGGGGACAUGCCACACUCAACCCUAGCAAAGCACAAUUCUGCCGACAGGAGGGGGAACCUGCCACACUCGACCCGCGGCCUCGAAUCAGCCUCAAGCUCAUCCUCGAAGUUCGUCCAGUGGGAGGGGACCCUGUCACACUCAACCCACUGCUCUAGAACUGUCGAGCUCACAAUCCUAAGAUUCCGGAAUCUAUUUCCCAAGCCUCUAGGGUAAUCUCAAACCCUAUGAUAUCGACCUAUCUAGGUCCAAUGCACUUUCUGUCCUAGGUCUAGCUGACUCUAGGUUUAAUGCUUUUUUUUUUUUUCACAUAACCUAUGUUCUUUAAACUAGGUUAAGCCUCUCUACCUAGAUCUUAUUAACUCUAGGUUCAACAACACUAAGUUCAUUGUCAACCUAGGUUUACCAACACUAGGUUCGAUAUCGAUUUACCUAGACCUUGAAUCUAGGUUCAUUAUGUUCAACCUAUGUUCACGACACUAGGUUAAUGCCACUCGAUCUAGCCUAGGUUCACGACACUAGGUUUAACAUCAUUCAUAUUCAUCCUAGGUUCUUGACCCUAGGUUCAUAUUCGACCUAUGUUAAUUACACUAGGUUCGGCGCCACUCGAUCUAGUUGGCCCUACUUGUCCACAUCGAAUUUCUAUAAUCAUAUAUACUCUAGCAUGCAUUCUAUGAUGCCGACAUGCAUCUACAUUUAACAUAGCCUACAUUAUCAUCGUGCAUGUUAUACAUGUAUAGCUUUUCUCAUCAUGCCAAUAAGCAUUAUCCUCUCGCAUGCAUUUUCAUAAGGUCAAUAUGCUCUUGUCAUCUAACUUGUAUUCACAUAAUGCACUUAUGCAUUUUAUCCAACCGCACUUACAUGCUCUAUUAUGAGUUGACAUGAACUAGCACUUGCAUAUAAUUCCAAUGCAUCAACAUGCCAUUAGCAACUAGCAUAAUUACUAUCAUUUAGUACAUGCAUCUUAACUAACAUGCUCACAUAAUGUUACAUGCACCUAGCAUACAUUCCAAUGCACAAAUAUAUCGCUUGUAUCUAGUUACUAGCAUGUACUUCCCAAUGCAUUAUUAUGCAAUUAUCACUAAACAUUACCCAACAUAAUCUCAUAACUCAUAAGGUUAACAAUAGGUUAACAUUCAUUUAUAUGCUCAUGUUCUCUAAUACAUGUCAACAUGAAUCUCAUAAUGCUAAAUGCCCCAAGCAUGUAUUUCACUAAGCAUACAUACUAAUAUGCAAAUUACAAUCUAGCAUGCAUUUAUACAAUGCAAAUAUGCCCGUAUGCACAUACAUAUAUGCAUCAACCAAAAAUCCAUAUUUCGCUUCGACAUGUGGGGCGACCAAGUCGCUUCAGUAAGCACAACCCACCUUAACACGCGUUCCGAUUGCUUGUCGACACUUGCAAUCGGCCGCCCGCGGCACCCGGCACCCGGUUUGGCCCGAUCUCACAAUUGCGGUCCAAGAGCGCGCCGCUUCGCUGUUUCAAGUGUAGAAGCUCUUCGCCAUGCUAACAUGAUGCCUCAAAUCCAUUUCCAUGAUUUUACGACGUCGCCUCGGCCCUCCCGGCGGACCCGAAGCCUAAACGUCCGUUUCUUUAAUAACUUCGCAACGGCUCGUCGGAUUGCCGAACCGUCUUCGCCAACGCGUUUCGUUACCUAGCAAUUAGGUUUACGGAUGGUCAAAUUAGAUCAAACCCUCAUAUUUUGAAAAUUAGCAUUUUGGACCCUAGGUUUCACCUAUUGCAAGAAAUCAUUAAAUUGAUCCAUGAUUUAAGCAACAAUCAUCUAUUUAGCAUCAUAGGAUUCCACUAAAUCCAUUUAUAAGGUAUUUAAACCAACCAUUAAAGAUCUACCAUUAAAGGCUAGCAAAAGCUUACCUCUCAAGCUUGCCCUCAAGGUGGAGAAGAUGAUGAUGAAGACAAUGAAUCCUCUCUUGGCUUCAAUCUCCACCAAAAUCCUCUUCUUUGGGAGAGAUUUAGAGAGAGAAAGAGAGGGUUUUCUUUUCUCCUUCCAUGCGUGUGUGUGUUGUGUGCGUGUGAUGUGUUCGGCUGGGAGGAAGAAGAAGCAAAGGGGAUUUAAUCCCUUUUUACCAUUUUGCCCUCAACUACACACUAUUCAUUACGGGCAGCUUGAAAUCUGAUAAAUUUCGUUGGAGC